GCAGCCUGCAACUCGGCUGCAUGAAGCUGGAAUCGCUAGUAAUCGCGGAUCAGAAUGCCGCGGUGAAUACGUUCCCGGGUCUUGUACACACCGCCCGUCACACCAUGGGAGUCGGGAAUGCCCGAAGUCAGUGACCCAACCGAAAGGGGGGAGCUGCCGAAGGCAGGCCUGGUAACUGGGGUGAAGUCGUAACAAGGUAUC
rnacentral:rRNA from 1 species